rnacentral:lncRNA from 1 species
UGUUACAUGAAGUUCUGUUAGCUUGCACAGAAAUAUCAGAGGAAAGAAAAAAGCUUCGAGUUUUAGCUUUUUAAACCAUACAGCCAUCUUGUUUGGUUAAAAAAAGCACCAAAUUUUUUUUUUUUUUUUUUUGGAGGUGGUGGAGGGACCAGAGAGGAAAUCUAACAACCUGAAAACACAAACCAAGUUCCUUAAAAAACCAAUAAUUAAACAUACAACCUUGUUUUGUUUUUACUUUUAAUCAGCUGGGUGUUCCCAGAAGCAAAAUCGAAGAAACAAGUCCCCCGGGCUUCAUAUCAAUUAAGAUGUCAUCACAAAUAAUUAUCAUUAUAGUUAUGAUUGGAAGACAUUAACACAAUAUUUUUGUUAUGAUUGGAUGAUUUUUCAAAAGAAAAAGGAAAGAAAUUUGGACAACCAUAUCCAUAAAAUUUCCAAUCCAGAGUGCAGGUUCAGGUUGUAGCAGAACAAAAACGUUACAAAGUUACAAGCAUACAUUUCAAAUUUGAAGAAUUAUGAAUACAACCAGUUUGCUAGAUCCUGAAAUCCAUUGAAGAUCUACGCUUCAGAACACUGAAAACUAAGCAACCCAGGUUGCAGAAUUCAGAGAAAAAAUGGAAAAAGGUAGUGAAUUUUGGUAAAUUGUGAUGAAGCAAAACAAACCCAUGUUGCAGAAUUCAGAGAAAAAGGGAAAAAAAAGAUAUGAAUUAUGGUAAUUUUUGAUGAAGCAAAACAAACCCAUGUUACAAUAUUCAGAGAUAUAUGGGGUCAUUAUUAAUAUCAUUACCAUUAUUGAUAGAGAACAUAAAAAAGGUGAGGUACCUUAUGUUUGCAGGGAAGGCAUUGAUGUCAGAGAUACAUUAAGAAUUUCUCAAAAUUAAGAGACACAACACAGAAACAGUAAUAAAAAGCAAACUGGCUGUGGAAGGAGAGAGAGAGAUAGAGAGAGAAUGAUUAAAGAUGAUUACCUGAGUGAUUAAGAGUCAAGGCCCAGAUGAUGUUGAAUAAGAGACCAAAGACCAAAAACUCCUCCUUUGACCACCACCACCACUACCCACUAACCUCCCAACCACCCCUACCCCUCCAAACCCAAAAUCUGUCAAAAAUCCUUCCUUUCUCUUCAAUUCAGAAGAAACCCAGAAAGCAAAACUCAAUUCCAAAAAACACCAAAACAACAACCCUUCUUCCUUCCCUAUCAAAAAUCCUCAAAGCUUCUAUCUUUACCUCUCUCUGGGCUACCCCAAAUUGCUAUAGAUAUUGAUAUGAUGAUGUUCUUUGACAAAAUUACAAAAAGCAAAACCAAUACUUUAUUGUUUUAAUUUUUCACAUUAAAAAAAGGAGGGAUUUAAAAAAAAGGAGAUGGGGGUGAAGUUUUUGCAAUGGUGGUGGACCAGAAAAUGGAUGGAAUCUUUGAAGAAAGAGAGAGAAAACAACAACAGCAAAAAAAAAAAGUGAACACCACAAUCAACAGACACAGAGAAAAAGAAGCUCAAAAUCUCAAACCUUUUUUUUUUAAUUUUAAUUUUUACAUUUACAAUAUAAUUUUUUUGACCUUUUGGUUCUCCUUGUUUUACUGUUCUGGUUUUUAAAGAUACCUAAUUAGCCUGUUUAUUAUUCUCUUUUUUGUACUGGUACUCCCCAAGGACCUCUUUGUCCCCUUGCAACUGUCCAAUCACAGGCUGCCACCUGGAAUUUGUCACGACAUGCAAGGGCAUUUUCGUCCUGUUAAAAAAUUCAUGAUUAGAGCAUGAUGGAAGUAGGGUUAGAGUUGGUGGCAGGCGAUUGCAGCCUGCUGGUAAUUAUUGGGGAUUUUAUUUAUUUAUUUUUAUUUAUUUUAGUUAAAAAUUAAUUAUUAGAAAAUAUGUGUAACGCUGGGGUGUCCAGAGUGUUUAGCUGCCUAACACCUGUUUAAGUAUCCUUCAAAUGUGAAAGGAUGUUGUAACUGCCUGUUGCAGAUUUGCACUUCAGCUUUUUUCGUAGUAAUUAAUGUAUAAUUAAUAUAUUAUUGCUAUAAUUAAUAAUAUAAUUAUCAUUACCUGCUAAUAUUAGCUUCAAUAUAAACCAAAAGUAAAAGCAUCAUGGUUAUAACUUAUACGUUCAACAUAGGUUUUUUUUUGUCACUCGCUAUUUUUUUGUCACUCGCUGUGUUAAUAUAAGACAUUUAUGUUGUCGGCCUAUAAAUUUACACAUUAACCAAUAUUCUUAAAACAAGUUUAGGAGGUUUAUUCAAUCUAGAAUACAAGCAUGGUUUUAUGUCGAAUAUGCAUAAGCAUAUUCGUUUGUCGCACUCAACUCUAGUUAACAUAAAUGAUCUUGCAAGAGAUUUUGAUGUUUAAUUCAAUUUGUAAGCAUGAUUACAUGUCGAAUAUAGGCAUCUUCUCUCAUUACACUUGUGUUUUUAGAUUAUGAAUCUAAACCGCAAUAUGAUGGAGAUUGUCUUACUUAGAGAGAUUUAUUACAACUAUGAGCACAAAACUUGUGUUUAUUGGACCACGAGACCACAAGACAAGGUUUGAUGUUUAUUAAACAAGAUAGAAAUGUAAGACAAGCAGUUAAAAGACAAUUGCAUAGGGAUGGUCGGAGCUCUCAAGGAUGAAGAAUGGUAAAUAACAUUUGACCCCCAACCCUAUCUAACUUUUUGAGAACUAAUCAACAACUUACGCAAUAUAAGUAAAACUGGUAAACGAGUUUUGUUUAUCGUGUUCAUGUCAUAUUUGUUGUCUUAACAGUCAUAUCGUGUCAAAUUAGUUAUCUUAACGGAUCGUGUUGUGUUCAACGUGUUAUUCUAACGAGUCGAGUCAUGUUAAACCCAUUAUCUUAACGGGUUCUUAAUAAGUUACCAAAUAACGACCCGAUUCUUAACGAGUCGCGGCGUUUUGUAUCGAGUUAACUGGGUCAUGUAAGAAAUUACCAUGUCUAAUGUAUACAUUAAUAUCAAGUUCUUAAUCCUGACUCGUUAACGGAUGAUCCGAUAACGAUCCGACUCGUUAACAGGUUUUUAACGAACCCGAUGACAAGCCAACUCGUUAAUAGAUGACCUGAAACUUGUUAUUUUUGUGUCGUUUUAUGUAGAGUUAAUAGGUCGUGCAAAAAAAAAAAAAAAAUAUAUAUAUAUAUAUAUAUACACACACACAUAGGGGCUUUUAGAUCGAGGUCCAAAAAUAUAGAUGGUUUUUAGGAGUGAGUCCAGUUAUCUAAUUAUAUGUUUUUAUUUCUUUUAUACUCAUUUUAUAUUUUUUUAAAUAUUAAAAAUCAAUUAAAAUCUUCUAAUAUUAUGCAUUUUUCAACUCCAAAAAAUCUAAUUAAUAUCUUAUAACAAAAAUAAAAACUAAUAUACUAACAUAAAAAUAAUUAACAUAAAAAUAAUUAACAUGUGAUAUAGGUUGAUUAUAAAAAUUAAAAAUAAAAUCUGUAAAUGGGGUUUAAAGCAUGAGGAAGAACAAGAAAUAACAAAAAUAAAUAAAAAGAAAUAAUCAAAGAGAUAAUUAGGAAGAAAUUUGACUUGUAUAAUAAAUCUUAUCAUUGAAUAGAUAAUUAUUGAUAACAAAAUAAUUAAAUUUAAGGAAUUGGACUUAUUUUAAUAAAUUGGACUAUUUCUACUAUUGGCUAAAAAAAUUGAACUUAUAUCAAAUUUUCCUUUUUUUUAUUGAAAUGAAAUAUAAGACCUUUAAGCUAACUUAUAGUAUUUUCAGGCCAAAAAGGACAAGUUUAGAGUUUUUUUCAAAUAUACAAUUUACUCCUCACAUGCUUAGGCAAUACAUAUCCAUUAUAAAAUAAGUAGAAACUUAAAACAAAAACCAGAUUUUCACUCUCAAUACUUUAAUAAUCCCAACAAUAAUUUGGUUGUGAACCAAGGCAAAACAAUGAAAUAAUAAACAGUUGGAAUUAUCAAUGACAUAUUAUCUUUUUGUUAACAAAGGAGGGAAUGGAAUAUUAAGUCUAUUCGGCUAUCGUUUUUUUUUUUUUUUUUAAGUUAAAGUUUCUAUUAUACUCUAAAAUUUAACGGAAAAAAGGGCGUUAGUGAAAAUGAGAAAUAGUGCAACACAUUGCUAAGAUUAAGUUAAACUAUGGGUAAAGUUCAUAAAUCAUUGUUAUAAUUAAGCCAAUCUAUUUUAAUUAUAAUAUUCACUCAUGACUUUAUCAUCCCUCGCCAAUCGAUGAAUCAUAAGAACUUUAGCUUUUAAGUGAUAUUGCUAAGAAUAUUUUGGCAAUAAAAUUUUAACUAAUUGAUUACUUAAGUGGGAGUGAGGGGGGGGGGGAGGGGGGACAUAGACCAAUAUAUCAAGUGUCGUAAUACAAUUGAUCGAUUUUUUUGUUUAAGUUUUCAAUCAAUUGUAUUAUGAUAUUUGGUAUACUGAGUCGUAUUUCCAGCAUAUUGAAUAAUCUCUUGACAUGUGGAUUGGAAAUGUCUAAGCACACAGGAAAUAGUGGUGAAAAGGUUGGGACCAAUAUUUAGGGUUGGAUUCUAUCUACAAAAAUAAUGAUUGGUUUAUAACUAAGUAUUGUUGCUAAUUUGAUUCUAAUUUUUGUUGUGCUUAUAUAGAAUAAUGAUAUAUUAUGAAGAAUCUAAUUCUAAAUCUAAUCUGACCAUGCAAUUUGUUAUGUGUUCAAUAUUUAAGGUACGGUUUUUGAGUUGUCCACUUUGCACAAAGUUAUUCCAAUCACUAUAGUUUAAUCAUUUCACUAAUACUCAUGACUCAUGAUUGUUCAAAAGACUAUGGGGAAUUACAAAAGAAAAUACCAAAAGCUUAAUAAACAACAAAAGUAGCAAGGCCAUACCAUCAAAUCCAUUAAAAAAAUUUCUCUAAAUCCACACAUCUCAAAUGAAAUAUGAAUAGUGGAUCAUAUUUUGCACGAUUAUCUCACCAAAAUCAUGAAUAAAAUCUUACGCGUUUUCCUUUUCUCAAAUAAUGAAAUAAUACGAGGUUUGAUCUGGUUUGAUUUGGUUCGGUUCGGUUCUGUUAUAAAAUAUACAUCAAAUUAACAAUUAUCAGUUAUUUACAAUUUAGAGCUGAUUGUUUGUUUCAUACUCUUUUGCCUAUUAUACAAAAUCAAAUGAGAGAGAAUUUGAACCAUGUGAACUAAUGCAAGAUUAAAAUAAAAAGUAAUAUGGGAAGAAAGUUGAAAUUUCAUCAUAAAAUCAAUUAGCAAUAUGAAGAGUAGUUUAAUAUCUUCUAAGCCUUUGCAAGGUUUCUCCUUUCACUGAUGUGAGACUUUGUUACUUUACAUCCUCACACGCUCACUCACGUGUAAAUUUUUUCAAGCCAAUUACGUUGACAACACAAAUUGAGUGACGUUGAGCACGUGUGACUGUUGGGCUCACAUGAUGUGAGACUCUUUCACCUUCACUUCCUCAAACGCCCCCUCACGUGUAACGAAUUUUCAAGUCAAACACGUAAACAACACAAAUUGAGUGACGUGAAACACAUAUGGCCGUUGAGCUUCAUACAUGGGUAUAGAGGUGGCAAAUCAAUCAAUUGAGUUGUUAAUGGGUACCCGUUAAGUCUCGUUUAAUUUGAUAUCACCAUUAUAUAAAGGUGAGAUUGGUAGUGGUGAUAAUAGUGUAAGGUGAAAUCAAACUAAAUGGGUCUUAAUGGGUACCCGUUAAUAACUCAAUAAGUUGAUUUGCAUCACUACGUGGCCCAACCUGCUUUGAUACUAUGAAGAAAAUUAAGAUUUUACUAUAAGACCAAUUGACAAUAUGAGAAGUAAUCCAAUCUUUUAUAAAUCCUUGCAAAAAAUUUCUUUCGCGGAUGUGUUACCCAUACAUCGACCCUCACAAUUAAUGAUAAGUAGAUAUGAGAAAAUAUGAUUGAGCCAAAAAUUGGCACCAAUGGGUCUUAAGAGGAGAUUUGGAUAUAUUUUGUUGGGAUGUGGUAAGCAUAUGCCAAAUGGAAGGAUGAGAAUUGACCCCAAACCUCCAACAAGACAUGCAACACAAAAUUGCCAACACAACACGUAAAGAAAAUUUAGAAAAUUGAGUCUUACAAAAAACAAUACAUCAAUUUUUAAAUAGCUAACAAACAGCACCUUGUCGAUCCUCAUCCUCCUCCAAUCUUCCUCCCCUUCAUGUGACAACAUACAGUAUAUUUAUUUAUUUACAAACAAAAUUAAAUAUGUUACAUAAAACUUUAAGGACGUGUCCCUAUUUUCCCAUUUCUACUGAGUCAAAAAGAUACUUUGACUGAGUCCCUUUCUCAUCAAACUCUCUCUCUCUCUCUCUCUAUCUCUCUCUCUCAUCACACUGCAGUUACCAAUGUUUUUAUUUCGACAUCAAACUCUCUUUAGUCCUCCCAUGUGGCUUCUCAUGGCAACUCCCUCUAUCUCGUCAUACUCUGACUCAGUAUUUUUUCUCAUUUCAACUGUUUGCAGAUACACAACCAGAUUAUGAAUUAUGUUAGGUCUCUUAAUGUAUCAACGGUCCAAGAGAUAUAUAUAUAUAUUUUUAUGUAAGUGGUGAGAUGAGAUCUCUUAAUCACCUUUUGUAAAGUAGAAGUGAUGAAGAUCACAUAUGGAUAUCUUAAGGUUUCUUUUCAUUGAGGUAUUAUACAAGUAUGUGAUGCUCGUCACGGAUUAGGGAUUCUCUCCGGAUCUUCUUUGUGAUGAUCCUGGAGAUCCUCUAAUCACAUUUGUUCAUCAUAUAUAGUGCAGUCAAUUUUUAUCAGGUACUAUUUAUAUUUAACUUUAAAUAACAAGAUUUACAAUGAUUUCUGACAGUACGAUAUACGAUAAACAUAUGUGAUUGGAAGAUCCCGGAAUCCUCACAAAGAGGAUAUGGAGAGGAUCCUCAUUCGGUCACACUUGAGUUAUUUUUCCAUUGAAUUAAAAUCGCAUACACAUAUCUGAUCGAUUGAGCUUAAUAUUUGUCAAGAACGAAGAUCUUGCAUGGGCUUAUAAGAAAGUAGAGCUACUUCCCAUUACUAAUUGGUUUUAUGAUGGAACCUUAACUUUUUAUGAUAUCAAAGCAAUUUAUCUCACGUAUGAAACCCAACAACCACACGUCACCACAAAUGUGUUGAGCUAUUUCUUAUAUUGUCAAUUUGUAAUCUCAACUUUUUUCGCAGUACGUAAUCGUAAGUUUCGGAAUGAUUAACUAUGAAGUUAGGUUUGUAAUGGUGAUUGCACAAUUUGGAUUAUUCAGUCGAUAUACGCUACAGUUAAUAGUCUUUGAGUGAAUAAGAGAGGUGGACCCAUAAGGGGAUUCACAUCAACCAAUCAUGAAAAUUACGACUUUUUUGGUGAGGAAUUUUGGAGUCUCAAGAAAUUGAGGUCAAGUAUUUGAAAAUUUAUCACAAAAAGUUAGAUAUGAAGCAUUAGAAAUGUUGUUCAUCAACAUUGCAAAAGCAAGCGAGACGGAUUUGCACAUUCUGAGAAAUUUUGUUUUUUGUUUUUUGUUUUUGUUUUUUUUCAGCUAAAGAUUGUUAUCAUCUGGUAUGAAAGCUCAGCUUGUAAGGAUAUAGUAACGCUACAAUCUUUUAGAUCUAUGGUCACUAAUAUCAUUACUCCACUAAUGCAUACGAUUGUCAAACAUCGCAAAAUAGAACCUCUAAACAUGAAUGUUUGGAAGAUGAGAAUGCAGUUGCUUCUCAAAAAACAAGAUUUUUUUUUCAUUCUUGAAAAAAGAGAGCAAAUUCCUAUUUAGAAUGGACCAUUUAAAAAUAUCCCUCCUCUAAUCUGUCAUUCUACAUUGUGCGACCAAUUCCUUAGUAAUUUGAUUUGACCUCAAUCACUUAUGACUUGAAAAUUCUUCAAACAUAACCUACAAAUCCAAGUUGACCGACUGUGAAAUGUACUUAAAUCCUAAUCAAUUAACCAUAUUAAGAACUUAAAAGUUCUCUAAAAUGCGGUGGGUGGGUGGCUUGGCUUGCAUUGGAGUGGAAGGACAUGCAAAUAAAAAAGACAAGAGUCAUACAUAAAGAGUUGCAUUUGAUAAACAAAUUGAGUGAAAUCUUAGGUAACAAACUUGAGUCAGAAGUCGGUAUUUAUUAUUGGAGGAAAACCUGUCACAAUGCCAGUCUUUUUUGUGUACUCACUCACUCAGUAGCCCAGUGGACAGUUGGGAGGCGUGGGGGGACCUCUAUUUUGUAAGGAUUGACAUCGUCUUCGGAUCUCAUACUUUGAAAUCUAUGAAUCGAGUAAUUUGGAUCGUUUAAGAGAGAAAUAUUUGGACGUUGGAGAGAGAGAUUGUGUAUGAGAUGGACAAAUGUGAUUAACUAAUGAGAACUGCAUGAUUAAAAUUGCUCAAUCUACGGGCUCCGGAGCGUGAGAUUUGGAGAGGAUACCAAUCCACUUUGUAAUUCAGUUCCUCCUACCUAGCACUGGGCUGGUUGGAAGUUGCAAUGUCUAGCUUUCUAACUCAGACUAUCAUGAGAUGGGCCUCACUGAUGCUUAUUGGCACAGCUUCUUUCGUUUGGCUUUGCCACUGCUAGACCAUCUGAAAUGGGAAGAGAAAGGGGGAGAGAAACUUCCACUCACUUUGCAUGAGGGGAUGAAAGUGGGAGAGAAACUACUCUGCCGUUGCUGCCCGGCCAAAACAUAACGGGUGGGAUGAAGAGAAGGGUGUGUCAUGUGUGUGUGUGUGUGUGUGGUGCCCCGGGGAUGGUUAGGCGGGCGGUCCGGAUGCUAGACCCCAAUUUUUUCCAAAAGGGCGAAGGUUCAAAAUGUAGUUAUUGAGAAAAUCUUGUGUCUAUUUCUCGUUGUGUGAGUAAUGUGAGCAAAGAGCCGUGCAUAUAGUUAGAAGUGGUGGACUCAUGAAUUUGUGAUGAUUGACAGAGUAGAAAGAGAUUAUUAUACAAAAAAUUGUAUAAGAUAUUUCGUCAAACACCCUUAACUCAUAAUGUUACGGCCAAAUUAAAUAUCUAACUUAAGUGUAUACGAUUUUCUCUUGACAUUCAGGAUAUUUGAAGCUUGUUUUGUGGACUUAAAAACACUAUAAAGCUCUGAGCUUUAUCCCACUAGAAGAAAAAUCUUAAAAAUUAAGGGCUUAAAGCACUUGAAGAUAAAAGGAUGGAAUCAUAUAUAAUACAAGAGGACUAGUUGUUGAGACUAGAGAAUUCCCCUUUCAACUUAUCCUGCAAGAAAAACAAGCAAGACUCAAUGGAAGAGAAUCAUAACCUUGAGUUUGUUUUUCGGUGGUCCAGUCUAUUGAGUAGUCUGACUUUUUAAAUAAUUUUCAUCAUUCAAUUAUUAGAGUCAAUCUUCUCCGAUUGAUUUCCUGAACUACUCAGUAAUCCCAUACUAUUGACGAAAAUUACAUAGUUUGAUGAUCAAACUCUGUGUUUGUAAGUCCAUAUUUCUCUUACUCUUAUGCAAUUGCUACUCUUGAAAAAUAAAAGGAAAAUAAAUACAUUAAAGAUAGACAAAGUCACUUAACAUGAGCGCGUGCCACAAAGCUAAUGUUUAUAACACUACUUAUAUGUUAUGUCAACAUCACUUAUGGACUAAUUGUGAGAAACUCUCUUUGGACUAACUGGUAAAGAACCAUUUAAAUGGUUGAAUUCAUGGAACGAUAACCAUUCAUCUGCAGAAAAAAAUUCAAAACAUCCCCAUUGGGCCAAUAGGAAAAACUUCCAUGUGCCCUUCACUUUCGGAUGUGGGGCAACUCUCAUAUCUACUGUCAUGAGAAAAGUUUGGAUUCUACCUCAAAAUUAAUUGUCGGAGUGGACUAACUUAACAACUUCUUAUAAGCCUAUGCAAAGUUUUCUAGCUUUUCGAUAUGAUACAGCUCUCCACUUCCUCACAUGUAGAAAUCACAAUGGGAAUAAGGUUUGAUAAGAGAGAAUAAAUUUAAAACAUCAGGCAACAACUUACCAUCAUAAAGCAGAGAACCCUGUUUGAGGUCACCAUUUUCUAAGACAUGUAAUAAAAAACCAAAAGAAAUUUCAACUUGGUCAUUUUCAAAUGUGCAGUACCGACAAGAAAAUCUGCACAUAAUCCUCAAGAAAAUCCAACAUUACCGAAAGAAAAUGCAGAUAUUAUGGAGGUAAUGCAAAAAGCUCCAUAAAGUAAUCCAAAUUCAGCCCUACGAUUAUUAGCCGAAUUAAUGAUUUGUGUUCAUAAUUUCAACAGAAGAAAAUGAGUCCACAUGCUUUGUCAUCAUCAUAUAAGACAAAUUAUUACUAAAAACUUCAAAAUCACGAGCAGAGCAUCUCCAACGUUACUAGCUAAUUUUUUGUUAUUGUAACUAAUCGGAUAACCCAAAUGUUAAUUUGGCUGAACAUCAUUUCCAACAAUACUAGAUAUUUUAAGUUAAGUUAAAAUAUUUUAAUAUUAUAUUUUCUAAACUUAACAACUUAAGCCUUUUUUAUGCUCUUGAAGCCCACAAACAGUGCAUUUUAUAGUUUGUAAUGUUUAGAAGGAGGUAACUUUUUUUCUCAUCUGAGCUAAAUUUAGCUGGUUAAUAAUUUAGCUAGUCUGUUGAAACUUGAAUUUUCUCCUUUUUAUUUAUUUAUUAAAGUAGGAAAAAAUCUCAUUUAAUUAGGCUGUUGGAAGUCCUUUUAAUAGGUUUACGUUUAAGUUUACUUGCUGACUAAAUUUGACAUACACCAAUAAUGGUCGGCUAAACUUAAAUUAGUCCAAACCCCAAUUGAUAAUCUUUCUUCCGAAGAUUGUCUUGUGUGCGACCGGAUACGGCAUAUUUUCUACGGGGUGGGUGGGACCAUAUGUCUCUCGGGGUGUCGAGAAAAUAUAUUAUGGUUCCGAUUUAUAUGUGUAACGGUAUGAACACGUGAUUUGACUGUUGUUUACCGAAUUUAAAUGAAAAGAAUUUGAACUUGAUAAUACUAAAAUUGCAACAAAAAUUAAGGAACAUUAUAUUAAAUGAUGUCAAAUAAUCAAAAUCUUAUCAUAUAACGUCAUCUAAUUCCUGGAUUUGAAAUCAUUUCAUCCGAAUGGAGUCCAUGGUAGGCCUCAAUAUCUCAUCAUCAUGAACUGCUUUUCAGGAUUAAUCACCAAUAAAACUAGAAAAUAUGUGACAAAAGCUUUUUUUUUAAAUUUCUUCUCCUAGUUAAGUUUAGUCAGCCCACCUACUCAGCCAACAUUUCUGUUGAGAGCCGAGACCAUUCGGCAGCAGGAGAAAUUCUAGCAUGCGGCUACCAUAUGCGGCAACACUCUCACAAAGGGUGGGAUCAACGUGAAUAUGCUGCCGCAGCCGCACUCUAGAGUUCAUGCUGCUGUAGGUUUUGUAAACUCAACAUGGGAAAUGUUUUGGGCACAACAUACUGCUUUUUACCAGUAGUAAUGCAGUAAUUUGAUGCUUUGUCUUGAUAGUUGGUGCAUACGAAACCAUGCAUAUCUUUCGAAUUCAAGGUAAAAUUGAAACACGAAUUGCUUGCCUUAAAAGUAAAUUUUAUCCAAAAACAUGUUAAACCAAUCCAUCAGGAGGAUUUGAAAGUACAUAUUUCUUCAGGAGUUGAACAAUAACAGUGUUUUCUGAGGCGAAGGUGUCGAGCAAAGCGUUUAGAGCCUCGCAAGGUGAGGCGUAAGCCUUCGGGUUUCUUAUUUUUUUCUCUAGUUAUAAUACCACAGAGGCAAAGGAUGAGAGGAUGAGAGACUUCACUAGUACAAUAUCAACCUUUUGUAGUCUGCUGUAGUGAGCUCAAAGAAUGGUAGUUUAACUCGCAGUUUCGAGGGCCGAAGCAAGACGAUAAAUGAUGAACAAUGUAUGAAUUUUUGCCUCAAAAGUCUUGAAACAAAUACAGAAACCUAUUUAGAAAACUGCAAAUGGUUUGAAAUUUUGAAUACGCAAAAGACCGCUACUAAAACUUUACAAAAUCACAGAAACCAAUUGUGAUGGACAAUGGUAAAACAGUAGUUAACAAAACUGUGAGAGAGGAAGGAACACAAGCCAAAUAGAAAGAAACAAAGUCCUUUUCGAAGCCUUGGUUAUACACACGAUUUUUCAAAUGAACGAAUAUACAACUUUGAGCUAACAAAAGACUUCAUCAUUUACUUAGUUCUCCCUAUGCGUUUCUUC